rnacentral:rRNA from 1 species
UCGAGAAUUUUGGGCAAUGGGCGCAAGCCUGACCCAGCAAUGCCGCGUGCGGGAUGAAGGUCUUCGGAUUGUAAACCGCUGUCAAGGGGGACGAAACAUGACGGUACCCCUGAAGGAAGUCACGGCUAACUACGUGCCAGCAGCCGCGGUAAUACGUAGGUGACAAGCGUUGUUCGGAUUCAUUGGGCGUAAAGGGUCCGCAGGUGGUUGGAUAAGUCUGGUGUGAAAUCCCCGAGCUCAACUCGGGAACUGCAUUGGAGACUGUCCGACUAGAGUAUCGGAGAGGAGAUUGGAAUUCCAGGUGUAGCGGUGGAAUGCGUAGAUAUCUGGAAGAACACCGAAAGCGUAGGCAGAUCUCUGGACGAUAACUGACACUCAGGGACGAAAGCAUGGGUAGCAAACA